AUACGGAGGGGGCUAGCGUUGUUCGGAAUUACUGGGCGUAAAGCGCGCGUAGGCGGACCAGUCAGUCAGGGGUGAAAUCCCGGGGCUCAACCCCGGAACUGCCUUUGAUACUGCUGGUCUUGAGUUCGAGAGAGGUGAGUGGAAUUCCGAGUGUAGAGGUGAAAUUCGUAGAUAUUCGGAGGAACACCAGUGGCGAAGGCGGCUCACUGGCUCGAUACUGACGCUGAGGUGCGAAAGCGUGGGGAGCAAACAGGAUUAGAAACCCUGGUAGUCC
rnacentral:rRNA from 1 species